rnacentral:rRNA from 1 species
AACGAACGCUGGCGGCGUGCCUAGCACAUGCAAGUCGAGCGAGAAAGUCCCUUCGGGGGCGAGUAAAGCGGCGGACGGGUGAGUAAUACAUGGAUAAUCUUCCCUCGAGCCUGGGAUAACCCUGCGAAAGUGGGGCUAAUACCGGAUAAGACCACAUGACACAUGUCACGGGGUAGAAGGUGGCUUGUAUUUAUAUGAGCUAUCACUUGAGGAUGAGUCCAUGGCCUAUCAGCUAGUUGGUGAGGUAAGAGCUUACCAAGGCUAUGACGGGUAGCUGGUCUGAGAGGACGACUAGCCACACUGGGACUGAGACACGGCCCAGACUCCUACGGGAGGCAGCAGUGGGGAAUAUUGGGCAAUGGGCGAAAGCCUGACCCAGCGACGCCGCGUGGGUGAUGAAGGCCUUCGGGUUGUAAACCUUUCGUGCGGAAGAAUAGUCCUGUAGCGAAUAACUACGGGAUUUGACGGUACCGCAGGAAGAAGCACCGGCUAACUCCGUCG